ensembl:lncRNA
GGGAGUUUGACGUAGAUGAUGAUUCAAUAAAUUAAUUACCACUCUGCAAAUUAGGGAGUGAAUUGUGAACGUGUUAGCCUGAGUUGCUUGUUCUUAGCCUGAGGAUAAGGCUCCCUGUGCAUUUUGUUUCUCCCUUGCUAUCAGCCUUGAAUAUGUUAAUCCUCUCCCUAAAACACACACACACACACACACACACACACUGACAUUCCUACUCCCUCAUCAGGAACAGCACGAUUUGCAAUAUUGAAUUGAUUGCUUCAGGGAACAGAUCUGUGCUUGAGAUAACUGGCAGAGCACAAAGCCAUUUCCUACCUGCGCCUGUGGAGUGGCUGCUCAGGGUGAGGGGAAGAGGGAUGUUGUCGGGUGGAAACCAGGAGCCGGCUGCUGCCGGCAGCAGGACUGCCCUAACAGCAGCCAGAGUAGCUUUGUUGGCAGGAACACACAAAAGGAACCUCUGUGAAGCUGAAGUGGCUGAGCCCAUCCGGGCUGAAGGGCUCUUAUCUCACAUUUCUGAGUGGAAGAUGAGAGAGUUCCAUUGCUGUGGGUCUGACUGUCGUGUAGACUUCCCGAACUUUGUGGACUGCCUGUGAUGGGCAUUGGAAGGUUUCACUCUGGCUGGAUGCUGCUGAGGGACUGCUACUCACAUGGGCAAACUCUGCAUAGUCCCAGCAAGCUUCCAGAGUAAGGUAAGCAGUGCUGUGCCUCCUCCAAAGUCUGGAUCAAAGACCAAUGCUGGCAGGGCUUUACAUUGCUCCAUGGGUCUGCUUACACCACUUCCCCUGCCAAGGAAGAGUUUUCUGAAGAAAAGGGAAGAAUAGCAGCCAAACAUCUUUAGUUAUAUCAUUUUUAAUUUUCCACAUUCCUUAAAUGUAAGAGUUCAAAGCUUCUAAGUUGCAUGCAUGCUACUAAUCACCAUUUUCCUUCCCAGCCUGUUAAAACUUCCACUAACUCAUCUUGAGUCCCCAUUUUAAGAUAUGAUAACAUUUUGUUUUCAGUUUCCCUUCUAAUUAGAUCAUACAAACACUGUUAGACUUGCUAAGAAAGUGACUAUCAGUAACAAAACACUGCAUCAACUUACAGUGCCCUAACAAAGUUCCAUUUUAUUUUAUCAGCUCAGUGUGAAGUCUUCUGAUUAGAUGUUAACAAGCCAGACUAUUUUUCAUUGAGAGUUCUCAAGCACUAUAAAUAUAUAUUCACUCCUUAAACAUCAGAUCACAUGUACUGUAAAUGUUUUUAGGUUUCCCAUUGACUGCCUCAUCUUUAUAAAUAUUUGUCUCUUGAAAUCUCUCAUGUUAAUUGCUCGUAAUAGCAGUAUCAGUAUUUUAUCUAACUAGGAGAAAAUACUUAUUUUUAAAGAAAGGAACAAUCCUUAUUAUCCUUGAUUAUCCAUCCAUAUAACACAUUUAACAGUGAGCUGCUUGGAGAAGAGAAGGCUCCGGGGAGGCCUCACCGCAGCCUUCCAGUACUCAAAGGGAGCGAGAAGGUACCGACUUUUUACAUGAUCUAAUAGUGAUCGGACAAGGGGGAAUGGCUUUAAAUGAAAAGAUAGGAGAUUUAGAUUAGAUGUUAAGAGGAUAUUCUUUACUUAAAGAGCAGUGAGGCACUGGCACAUGUUCUUCAGUGAAGCUGUGGGUGCCCCAUCCCUGUAGGGACUCUAGGCCAGGUUGGAUGGGAUCCUGGGCAGCCUGAGCUGGUAGGUGGCAUCCCUGCCAAUGGCAGUGGUUUGGAACUGGAUGGGCUUUGAGGUCCAUUCCAAUACAAGCCAUUCUAUGAUUCUGUGAUUCUGUGAUCCAUAUCUGCUUGUUAAGAACAUUUUCUUUUGCAUGACAGGUAAGUGCUCAUCAGUGAAUCACGAACAUACAAUAGAAGAAACCUGAAUUCUGUGGACAAUUUUGUCCUUGGAAAAGCCACUGUUGCAGUUUCACUUGACAGGGCUGAGGUCUUCUUCCUCAGACAUGCUUCAGACAAGGCAGAUUCUCCCUUCUGGUGAAAUGCCAGAGUGCAAAGGGAACUGAAAAGAAGAUAGACAGAAAGUGAAGAGCCUUGCAGAAGCUCAGAAGGAAGGAUCUUAUCAGGCCAUCUUGCACCUGGGCAAGGAUGAAGGACUGUGUGAUGUACAGAUUAUCCAGGGCACAAGAAAUAGAUUGGAGUGCCUAUCUGUGGCUGUAGACAGAUUUCUGUAUUAACUGAGCUGGUUUUCCUGUUGACACUGCAUUCAUGUGGGAUUACUUGAUAUUUUCCAUUGAAAAUCUCUGUGUAUCUUUCCUUAAAUAUGGUUGUCUUCUGAAAGACUGACUGUAGCUAACCUACUGUUUGCCUGCCGGGCACUCCUUCACAAACUGUGCAUAAUUUCAGAUGCAAUGGCAAAAAUACACAUGUGUUCAGUCAUCAGUAACAACUUACAAAUAUUUACUCUGAUUAUCUGUGAUCUUCUCUUGGUAAAUUUCUCAUACACUGUACUAAAACUUCUCUAGGAACUGUUUUCAGAACCGAUUAAAGAGAUUAUUAACACACAAACACAUAAAAAGUAAUGUGAUGUCCAUCAACUUAGCCACUAUCCUUUGUCACAUCUUUCCCAGUAAAGUUCACCCUGACAUUAUUUAUGCUUUCAUCAUUCUGACAGUAAGACUGUAUCUUUAUCCCGAUACAGUCAGAAAGGGAGCAGAAUUUGUCAGGCCACAAAAUACUUUGGGAGAAAAUAUGUUCUGUGCCUCCAACUCUUCAGUACAAUAACAAAAAACUUGGAAAUGAAAAUUGCAUAAGCCAUCUCUGCUACUCUUUUCGUCCUUUUUUAAGGUAUUUGUUUGUAAAGACGCUCUCUAUUCUUUUUUUUUUUUUUUUUCCUGUUCUACUGUACAGAAUACCCAUAAAACAAACUAUCACUGGCUUUAUCUUACAGUUUCUUGUACACUGCUGAAUAUAUAACCAUCUCUUAGGGAGCAAAAGACAAAUAGUGAAAUUGGCUGGAACCACAGUGACUUUCAAUCAAAAAGAAACUAGGAUUGCAUAUUAAAAAAAAAGUUCUAACAUCCUCCCUGCUGUUCCUUUUUCUGCAUCCUUGUUAAAAACUAUGAAUUACUUCAGCAUUUUUUUUCUGCAAUAGAAUUCAAUAGGUUAAGCCAAUAAUAACUGAAAUCCAGAACCGUUGUUGAAACAUUUCAAUUAAAUUAUAUAUUGAUUGUUAUACUGUUACAAUUAAGACAAAUAAAAUGAAAUAUUGGAUGAUGCA